GCUUGUCUCAAAGAUUAAGCCAUGCAUGUCUAAGUACAAGCCUCAGUAAGGUGAAACCGCGAAUGGCUCAUUAAAUCACACCUAAUCUACUGGAAAGUUACUAGUUACUUGGAUAACCGUAGUAAUUCUAGAGCUAAUACAUGCAUAAAGCCCUGACUGUUUGGAAGGGGUGUAUUUAUUAGAUGGAAACCAAUUCGGGGCAACCCGGUUCAUGGUGAUUCAUAAUAACUUUCGGAUCGACCUUUCGGUCGAUGCAUCAUUCAAGUUUCUGCCCUAUCAGUUGUGGAUGGUAGGGUAUUGGCCUACCAUGACUUUAACGGGUAACGGAGAAUUAGGGUUCGAUUCCGGAGAGGGAGCCUGAGAAAUGGCUACCACAUCCAAGGAAGGCAGCAGG
rnacentral:rRNA from 1 species